rnacentral:tRNA from 1 species
GCCGAAGUGGUGGAAUUGGUAGACACGUACGUUUGAGGGGCGUAUGGGGCGACCCGUGGGGGUUCGAGUCCCCCCUUCGGCACCA